UACGGGGGGAGCAAGCGUUGUUCGGAUUUACUGGGCGUAAAGGGCGCGUAGGCGGUCAGCACAAGUCAGUUGUGAAAUCUCCGAGCUUAACUCGGAAAGGUCAACUGAAACUGUGCGACUAGAGUGCGGAAGGGGCAACUGGAAUUCUUGGUGUAGCGGUGAAAUGCGUAGAUAUCUGGAGGAACACCGGUGGCGAAGGCGGCAUCCUGGACCGGUAUUGACGCUGAGGAGCGAAAGCCAGGGGAGCAAACGGG
rnacentral:rRNA from 1 species